AGUGAACGCUGGCGGCAGGCCUAAUACAUGCAAGUCGAACGGCAGCACAGCAGAGCUUGUUCUGUGGUGGCGAGUGGCGGACGGGUGAGGAAUACGUGGGAAUCUGCCCAGUCGUGGGGGAUAACGUAGGGAAACUUACGCUAAUACCGCAUGCGCCCUUCGGGGGAAAGCCGGGGACCUUCGGGCCUGGCGCGAUUGGAUGAGCCCACGUCGGAUUAGCUAGUUGGCGGGGUAAAGGCCCACCAAGGCGACGAUCCGUAGCUGGUCUGAGAGGAUGAUCAGCCACACUGGAACUGAGACACGGUCCAGACUCCUACGGGAGGCAGCAGUAGGGAAUAUUGGACAAUGGGCGCAAGCCUGAUCCAGCCAUGCCGCGUGAGUGAAGAAGGCCCUCGGGUUGUAAAGCUCUUUUGUCCGGAAAGAAAGCGCCGGGUUAAUACCCUGGUGUCCUGACGGUACCGGAAGAAUAAGCACCGGCUAACUUCGUGCCAGCAGCCGCGGUAAU
rnacentral:rRNA from 1 species